rnacentral:rRNA from 1 species
UCGAGGAUCUUCGGCAAUGAGCGCAAGCUUGACCGAGCGACGCCGCGUGUGCGAUGAAGGCCUUCGGGUUGUAAAGCACUGUCGAGGGGGAGGAAAGCCGCAAGGCCUGACCUAUCCCUGGAGGAAGCACGGGCUAAGUUCGUGCCAGCAGCCGCGGUAAGACGAACCGUGCGAACGUUGUUCGGAAUCACUGGGCUUAAAGGGCGCGUAGGCGGGCUGUUUAGUCGGGGGUGAAAUCGUUCGGCCCAACCGGACAAGGGCCUCCGAUACUGGCAGUCUCGAGGGAGGUAGGGGUUGGUGGAACUUCCGGUGGAGCGGUGAAAUGCGUAGAUAUCGGAAGGAACGCCGGUGGCGAAAGCGGCCAACUGGACCUCUUCUGACGCUGAGGCGCGAAAGCUAGGGGAGCGAACGG